AGCUUUGCGUAGUGGCGAUAUCGUAACCGAUGAGGUCCAUCCUAGGUGCGAUUAUUGCUUGUUGAAAACUUUAGAAAACUAUUGAAAUUACUUCGAAAAUAGUUUUCAUCAAACGACUAUUAGAAAAAUAUCAGUCGAUUUUUAUAAUUUUAAAAUUAUA